GACGAACGCUGGCGGCGUGCCUAAUACAUGCAAGUCGAACGCAGUGGGGACGGGUGAGUAACACGUGGGUAACCUCCCAUCAGAGGGGAUAACACUUGGAAACAGGUGCUAAACCGAUACUGAUGGAUGGACCCGCGAUUCAUUGGCUAGUUGGUGAGGUAACGGCUCACCAAGGCAACGACCCAUAGCGGACCUGAGAGGGUGAGCGGCCACACUGGAACUGAGACACGGCCCAGACUCCUACGGGAGGAAGCAGUAGGGAAUUUUCGGCAAUGGACGAAAGUCUGACCGAGCAACGCCGCGGGAGUGAAGAAGGUUUUCGGAUCGUAAAACUCUGUUGUUAGAGAAGCGGUAUCUAACCAGAAAGCCACGGCUAACUACGUGCCAGCCGCCGCGGUAAUUC
rnacentral:rRNA from 1 species